GGCCCGGAAGGCUCAAACCCCGACGUCAGCAGGGGCCACACGCCCGCCAGAAGCACGAGGGGGAGAACCGUGCUUGUCUCUGGCUAACGCUGGCCGUCAGCAUCCCCGGUGGUCAACCCUCCCGUCUCUGCCUCGGACUUCACGUGGCCUUCUCCUCUGUGUGUGUGUCUCCUCCCGUCUCCUAGAAAGACUUGUCAUUGAAUUCAGGGUCCACCUGAAAAGUUCAGGAUGAUCAUCUCAAGAUCCUUGAUGACAUCGACGAAAACCCCGUUUCUGCAUAAGGGAUGUUGACGGGUUCUGGGCGUUAGGACGUGGACGGGUCUUCUCAGGGGCCAUUGUUCAGCUCACUCCAGAUAGCGUUAACAGAAUCCUUUUCCAGAGCACUUCCGUGGCCCAGGGACUGUUCUCAGUGCUUUCCUCCACUGGCCCACCUCACCUUCAUGCUUGUGGGGUGGGCACCAACAUUACCCCAUUCGCAGGGUGUCCUGCAGGGACAGAGCACCUGCUUCUGACCACGUAAGUGUACGAGCUCAUGCCCGGUGCCCAGCAUACAGUGGGUGCUCAAUAGAAGCUUGGAGAACGAAUGACGGAUGAACCAUUCAGCUGGGAGGGCCCUUCUCUGCUCUGGAACCCCCUCUGUCUGGCAUGAGGAGUCCAGGCUUUGUCUACAUUUUCUUCCUGACAUCAUACCUCGCAUACCGUACCCCCCACCCAGAGGGGACAGAUGGGAGACCCUGGCUGCCUCCUAGCCCGGCCCUCUGAGGGCAACGUACAAAAGACGGCCAGUUUUCGUACGUAUCUGGAGACUCACAAGCUCUCAAUCAAGCCAAAACCAACUGCAGAAGUAAACAGAAAAAGGAUACGUUCAAAACAGUAGAAUUGAAAAUCCCACCCACAGCCGCAGUUUCGUGUGACCGCAAAUCGGCAAAACACCGAAGGUGACCGAAUUUAAUUACUGUCGCUCAUGUCUGGGUGUCUGUUGAGGCACCAAUAACGUUUAGAUGGGAAAUAAAGACACAGGUGAGAAGUCAAGCGAGAUCCUGGGAGGCAAGAUCCCUCGAGACCCACAAAGCCCUGUACAGACAUGAGGCGCUCUGGAUUAACUUGCUGAAUGAAGGGGUGUGAUUGAGGAAUGAGGCAUACAAUCCUCUUGGCUCUUUUGCAGAACAUUAAGGACCUUCCUGCCCUGAGAUUCUUCCUGCUCUAAGCCACUUGCCCAAGGGUGGAAUUAAGAAUCUCCUCGUCACAGCGCAAUAGGAAUUCGACGUGAUUUUGCACCACACCGACCCAGCCCAGGACCCGGCACGGGGAGGGCCCCCAGAAGACUUGAGGCCUCCCUUCCUGCCAGACACUGUGCCCAGCACAGGAGCACAGAUGCCCGAGUCUUAGUUCCUGCCUGCGGGGAGCUUGGGUUAUAAAGUGCAGGGAGCUGAA